UACGGAGGGGGCUAGCGUUGUUCGGAAGUACUGGGCGUAAAGCGCACGUAGGCGGCUCAGCAAGUCAGAGGUGAAAUCCCAGGGCUCAACCCUGGAACUGCCUUUGAAACUGCUAGGCUAGAAUCAUGGAGAGGUCAGUGGAAUUCCGAGUGUAGAGGUGAAAUUCGUAGAUAUUCGGAAGAACACCAGUGGCGAAGGCGACUGACUGGACAUGUAUUGACGCUGAGGUGCGAAAGCGUGGGGAGCAAACAGG
rnacentral:rRNA from 1 species